rnacentral:rRNA from 1 species
UACAGGACGAACGCUGGCGGCACGCUUAACACAUGCAAGUCGAACGGAGUUAUUGGAGCUUGCUCUGAAUAACUUAGUGGCGGACGGGUGAGUAACACGUGAGCAACCUGCCUUUGAGAGUGGAAUAGCUUCUGGAAACGGAUGGUAAUACCGCAUAACAUUACCGGACCGCAUGAUCUGGUAAUCAAAGAUUUAUCGCUCAAAGAUGGGCUCGCGCCUGAUUAGAUAGUUGGUGGGGUAACGGCCUACCAAGUCGACGAUCAGUAGCCGGACUGAGAGGUUGGACGGCCACAUUGGGACUGAGACACGGCCCAGACUCCUACGGGAGGCAGCAGUGGGGAAUAUUGCACAAUGGGCGGAAGCCUGAUGCAGCGAUGCCGCGUGGAGGAAGAAGGUUUUCGGAUUGUAAACUCCUUAUCUGAGGGACGAUAAUGACGGUACCUCAGGAGAAAGCUCCGGCUAACUACGUGCCAGCCGCCGC